UACGAAGGGGGGUUAGCGUUGCUCGGAAUCACUGGGCGUAAAGCGCACGUAGGCGGCUUUCUAAGUCAGGGGUGAAAUCCUGGAGCUCAACUCCAGAACUGCCUUUGAUACUGGAGAGCUUGAGUUCGGGAGAGGUGAGUGGAACUGCGAGUGUAGAGGUGAAAUUCGUAGAUAUUCGCAAGAACACCAGUGGCGAAGGCGGCUCACUGGCCCGAUACUGACGCUGAGGUGCGAAAGCGUGGGGAGCAAACAGG
rnacentral:rRNA from 1 species